AGGGAAAACAAUAAGAAAAUUGAGAAAAUAACUUUAUAAACUUGCAAGUUCAACCUAUAAAACACUAAAUCAAGUGAAGGAAGGAGGAUUUGAGAAGGGGAAUUCAACUAACUUUGGAAGAGAAGAGAAAUUGGAAGAAAAGCAAUAGGAGUUGUGUCUAGAGUUGGUUAUCAGACAAGAGAAGCUGGGUCAUCCCGAGCAGAAGGUACACCGCGAGGUGAUGCAGAUCGUUAGAUAUAGGAAUUCUCCUAUUUAUAUUUUGAAAUGUAAUUGUCAUGUCUUUACUUUGAAUGUAAAUCCUUUUGUGUUGUAAAAAUUAAAUCGAAGAUGUAAUAUAUAGUGGAUGUAUUAUAUAUAUGUAUAAUUGAUAGUAUGACCAAAUCAUUUUCAAAAUGAUAAGAUAAGAUUUAUUAUAAAUAUAAUAUGACUCUUAAUCUUAAUGUUGUAUUUACAUAGUUUAAAGGCUUAUACAUAGU